GGGGCUGUAGCUCAAUGGAAGAGUGCUUGCCUAGUAUGCAUGAGGCCCUGGGUUCAAUCCCCAGCACCCCUA